GGUUCAGUAACACGUAGCUAAUCUACCCUAAAGUCAAGGAUAACCUCGGGAAACUGAGGAUAAAACUUGAUAAAAGACAUACCCUGGAAUGAUUUGUCUUUUAAACUCGUGCUUUAGGAUGAGGCUGCGGCGGAUUAGGUUGUUGGCGGGGUAAUAGCCCACCAAGCCAAAGAUCCGUAAGGGCUCUUAGCGGAGAAGCCCUGAGAGGGACUCUGAGACACUAGUCCCACUCCUACGGGGGGCAGCAGUCGAGAAUCUUCUGCAAUGCACGCAAGUGUGACAGAGCGAGCCAGAGUGCUUUUCAUUUGAGAAGCUUUUGUGAAAUCUAAAAAGUUUUACGAAUAAGGACUGGGUAAGACGGGUGCCAGCCGCCGCGGUAAUCCCCGCAGUCCAAGUCGCAGCCAUCAUUCUUGGGUCUAAGACAUCCGUAGCUUGUUUAAUGAGUUCCUUGUGAAAUCCCAUGUCUUAAAUAUGGGGCGCGCAAGGAGUACUGUUAAACUAGAGACUGGAAGACGUAAAGAGUACGAUGGAAGUAGUGGUAAAAUAUGUUAAUCUCUAUCGGACUUACAAUAGCGAAGGCACUUUACGAGUACAGUUCUGACAGUAAGGGAUGAAGGCUAGGGGCGCAAAGGGGAUUAGAUACCCCUGUAGUCCUAGCAGUAAACACUGCGCACUAAACAUUGGGACCUCCUCGGGAGGUUUCAGUGCUGAAGGGAAGCCGAAGAGUGCGCUACCUGGGAAGUAUAGCCGCAAGGCCGAAACUUAAGGGAAUUGGCGGGGAGACAUACAACUGGUGACGCGUGCGGUUCAAUUAGAUUCUACACCGUGAACCUCACCAGGAGCGACAGCAGAAUGAAGGUCAGUCUAAAGGGCUUACCUGACACGCUGAGAGGAGUUGCAUGGCCGACGUCAGCCUGUGUCGUGAGAUGACCUGUUAAAUCAGGUAACAGGCAAGACCCACAUGUAUAUUUACUAUGUGUACAAUAUACAGAUUGCCUUGGUAACAUGGAUGAAAGUGUGGGCUACGUUAGGUGUGUACAGCCCGAAUCCCCUGGGCUACACGCGCGCGUCAAUGCUAUAUGCAAAGAGAUGCGACUCUGAAAAGAGAAGCCAAUCUCAUAAAAUAUAGCCUAGUUCAGAUUGAGGUUUGCAACCCAACCUCAUGACGCUGGAAUCAGUAGUAAUCGUUCGUUAUCAGCAAACGGUGAAUAUGUCCCUGUUUCUUGCACACACUGCCCGUCAAACCAACCGAGUUAUGUUAUGGUGAAACUCUCCGGAGGAGAACCUUAGCAUGGCAAGGUAGGUUAAGUCGACACAAGGUA
rnacentral:rRNA from 1 species